UAGGGAAUCUUCGGCAAUGGACGGAAGUCUGACCGAGCAACGCCGCGUGAGUGAAGAAGGUUUUCGGAUCGUAAAGCUCUGUUGUAAGAGAAGAACGAGUGUGAGAGUGGAAAGUUCACACUGUGACGGUAUCUUACCAGAAAGGGACGGCUAACUACGUGCCAGCAGCCGCGGUAAUACGUAGGUCCCGAGCGUUGUCCGGAUUUAUUGGGCGUAAAGCGAGCGCAGGCGGUUAGAUAAGUCUGAAGUUAAAGGCUGUGGCUUAACCAUAGUACGCUUUGGAAACUGUUUAACUUGAGUGCAAGAGGGGAGAGUGGAAUUCCAUAUGUAGCGGUGAAAUGCGUAGAUAUAUGGAGGAACACCGGUGGCGAAAGCGGCUCUCUGGCUUGUAACUGACGCUGAGGCUCGAAAGCGUGGGGAGCAAACAGGAUUAGAUACCCUGGUAGUCCACGCCGUAAACGAUGAGUGCUAGGUGUUAGACCCUUUCCGGGGUUUAGUGCCGCAGCUAACGCAUUAAGCACUCCGCCUGGGGAGUACGACCGCAAGGUUG
rnacentral:rRNA from 1 species